rnacentral:rRNA from 1 species
AGGGUCCAAGCGUUAAUCGGAAUUACUGGGCGUAAAGCGUGCGCAGGCGGUUGUGCAAGACCGAUGUGAAAUCCCCGAGCUUAACUUGGGAAUUGCAUUGGUGACUGCACGGCUAGAGUGUGUCAGAGGGGGGUAGAAUUCCACGUGUAGCAGUGAAAUGCGUAGAGAUGUGGAGGAAUACCGAUGGCGAAGGCAGCCCCUGGGAUAACACUGACGCUCAUGCACGAAAGCGUGGGGAGCAAACAGGAUUAGAUACCCUGGUAGUCCACGCCCUAAACGAUGUCAACUAGUUGUUGGAGAUUCAUUUC